rnacentral:rRNA from 1 species
UACGUAGGGGGCAAGCGUUGUCCGGAAUUAUUGGGCGUAAAGCGCGCGCAGGCGGUCAAUUAAGUUGGGUGUUUAAGCCCGGGGCUCAACCCCGGUUCGCAUCCAAAACUGGUUGACUUGAGUGUAGGAGAGGAAAGUGGAAUUCCACGUGUAGCGGUGAAAUGCGUAGAGAUGUGGAGGAACACCAGUGGCGAAGGCGACUUUCUGGCCUAUAACUGACGCUGAGGCGCGAAAGCGUGGGGAGCGAACAGG